UUUUUGUCUUCACUAUUAUUGCUUGAAGAGAUUAUUUACUUGGUUUCUUUGUGUGUAUUAUGCAACAACACAUGGUUUCUCCUUUAGACCACUUUUGAGAGAAUUUUGGCUGCUCGGUCUAUGAUUUUUGUCUUCGACCAUUAGCUGCCUAUUUUCGUUCUCUAUGACCGGCUAUUGCUCUCCCUCACCGGAGCCUGUCUAUAGCUUCUGUUUUGUACCUAUGACAGCCCCGGUUUGCACCUUCUUAUCGUCCCGGUUUUGCUAUCUAUUUCGGCAGCUUCUCUUCCUUCAUUCGUGAAGUCAUUUGGAUGAAUCCUUCGUGGUUAUGGCACAAGUUUCUUUGCAAUGGUCCGAUGUUAAAGUUGCCUUGUGAUUUGGGUGUUGAUCUGAGCCCUGUAUAAUCUACUUUUGCUUGCGAAUUUCAUUUUGAAAGAGAAGUUUAACUCUUGCUUUAUUUACAGUGUUCAUAUUGUUAUUAUCAAUUGAUUUGACCUUUGUAAUUGGUUUAUCGAUUGAAGGUUGAAAUUACACUACAAGUGUUUCUUUGAUGUCCCUUUUAGAGCCAAUUUUUAUAAGACUAAAGAGGACAGGAAUAAUGUUUGAUUUGGUGCCUCAAAAUCAGGAAAAGAAGACAGGAAGAUUGCGUGUGGUAUUUUACUUGGAAAGAAGUCAGAUGUUAUCCAAUAAAAUAGGCAAAGAAUCCGGGAAAUAAGGAAAGAAAUUCUUUUCCAAUUGAAACUUCAUGCGACCGCACUAACACACUAUGCGGUCGCACAAGGGCUGUCAGGGAAUUUCAACUGCCAAUUAAUCUACUCCAUGCGACCGCAAGGAGUAUACCUGUGCGGUCGCACAGUAAUAAUUUUUGAUGGCGGCGAAUUUUUUUCUUUACGUGAUUUUUAACCUAGUUUUCAUAUUUUCUCCUUCUUUUAGGAUUUGACUCGUGUACUAUAAAUAUAGAGGUCCUCUUUUCAGUUUAAGAUGUAACAAUAGAAGCUUUCAUUGCUAUUGUACUCUCCUUUCACAGUGCUGAAUAGAAUAUCGUUCAUUUGUCA
rnacentral:lncRNA from 1 species